CAAAAAUGUAGACCAAUAUCUUAAUCUAUACAUAGAGAGACAGAUAUUGUAUUGAUGGCAUAUAUAAAAAUGGAAUCAAACAAUUUUCUAAGCCAAACUUAAAGAGACUGCUGUUUGAUCAAAUUUGGAAGAUGCUUUUCAUAGCAAUAUUUUUCACUUUUUGUUUGGCAUUUGUUUACGGUGGUGAUGGAGUACUGCAUGUGCAAAAGCAAAGCGUGUGCACCGAAGUCUCAAGUCCGCCUACUAAAGAUUGCCGUUGGCAUGCAAACCUUGAUGUAUAUGCUGAUUCGAUAAUUCUCGGAGGCUGUACGGUGGUUGCAUUUAAGCUCCAAUGGUUUAGCGGCGCUUGGUCGGAUUGGUUUGUUAAAGGAGUCAAUGACAUUGACGUUAAAGUUAAUAUAAAUCCAAUACCCGCUUGCUCUACUCCCGUUUUAAAAAAUACCAUGCGUCGAUGGUGGUCUUACUUCUACGAUCAUAAUCAUAAAUACAUUAAAUGUUGUCGCGCACCUAAAUAGCUAAAAAAUUUAAAAUUGUAAAAACUAUUGAAUAAAUAUGACAAAGUCCUCAUAAAGUUUUUAUAAUUGUUAACGCGUUGUUAUACUUUUUUAUAACUCAAAUUUGUAUGUUUUUUUUGGUGGUAGCAAAAGAUUUAUAAUUA